ACUAACUUCUGCUGAAAGGAAGGGCAGUGAAAAUAUGGAUUCCGAUGCGGCGGCGGCUAGGCAGGGAAGCGAUAAGGAUGGGUCGUCCGUUUUCCAACAUGGAGAGUCGGAGAGAUUGGGAAAAGGAAGAUGAAGAUGCUUGUUGAAUCCAUAAUAUUCGAAUCCAAUGUUCAUGCUAUGGGGGGAUCCUUGGACUACUUUUUAUUUGGGUUUCAUCACUAUCACUUUAAUCUUAAUGCUUCAUUUCAUUUGAUCUAGAAAAGUUUGUAUUUAUAUUUCUUUUAGUUGUGAAAAGAUAUAAAUUAUCAAUCUUUCUUAGCUUCAUAUAUUGGACAGAUUCAACCAGAGGGAUGCUACUAGAUUGGAAUAAGCGUUUCAGCAUGAUAGAAGGAAUCACUCGAGGAUUGCUUUAUUUGCACUAAUACUCAAGAGUGAGGGUAAUUCAUAGAGAUUUGAAAGCUAGUAUUAUUCUACUCCAUGAGAAUAUGAAACCCAAAACUUCUGAUUUUGGCAUGGCGCACAUUUUCACGCACAAUGAACUGGAGGCAAAUAGGGUUGUGGGAACAUAUGGUUACAUGUUACCUGAGUAGGAGUUUACAGUUUUUGGUGUGAUAAUUCUUGAAGUCAUAAGUGGCAGGAGAAACAACAGUUUCUACAAUGAGGAUCAAGUGCUAACUAUAGUAGGAUAUGCGUGGGAAUUGUGGAAGGAUGGUCGUGGGCUAGAAAUAAUGGAUCCCAAACUAUCUGAUUUAUGUAUGAAGGGUCAAUUGUUAAGCUGCAUCCAUGUCGGUCAGCUAUGCGUGGAAGAAAUGCAGUUGAUCGGCCCAGCUAUCUGAUGUCAUAUCUAUUUUGACAUAUGAAAGCAUGUCCCUACCUACACCAACAAAUUAAGCCAGCAUUUUGUAUAGGAAGAAAAGUUAUCAAGGCUGGUAUUGAUGCAAAGGGAUCAGAAAUUGUAUCUAUUAGUGACGUGGUAUGUCCAA